UGGGAUCAAUGGGUAUCAAUGGGAUCCAUGGGGAUCAAUGGGUCCGGUAUGUGAUCCCAGUGUUGCCAUAGGGUAAGAUGCCAUCACCAUCCUGCAGCAGCUUGAGCCCAGCAGAUCCAGAAGGCACAGAGGCUGCAGAUGGAGCACGUCACGUGAUCGGCAUGGGGUACAUCUGUGAGUGACGGCGACAACCGGUGCUGUUCUCAGUCAUGAUGCCCCCGGAGGUGACCAUGAGGUUCGAGAGAGGAUCCCAUGGACAUGAACUGGUUUCGGACGUCCCCAUUGAGGAGAUGCUGCUCAUCUGGCCCCGCCCACCCCGCAGGCCCCGCCCCCUUGGGGGGAUAAGCCACGCCCACUGGGGGGGCAGGACCCUUUCCCAUUGGGUCCUUGGGCCCUUAUACAUCUCUAUGGGGUCCUAAGCUCCGCCCAUUCCACUCUAAGCUCCGCCCAUUGGGGGGUCAAACCCCUUCCCAUUGGCUUCUAUUGGAUGCUAAGCUCCGCCCCUUUGUUGCUAAGCCCCGCCCCUUGCCUUCAAACCACGCCCAUUGUCUGAGCCCCGCCCCCUUUUGUAACCUUAUUUAUUGGUAUUAAAAACAGCGAUUUUGG